rnacentral:rRNA from 1 species
GCACAACGCGAAGAACCUUACCCACCUUUGACAUGGCAGGAACUUACCAGAGAUGGUUUGGUGCUCGAAAGAGAACCUGCACACAGGUGCUGCAUGGCUGUCGUCAGCUCGUGUCGUGAGAUGUUGGGUUAAGUCCCGCAACGAGCGCAACCCUUGCCAUUAGUUGCUACAUUCAGUUGAGCACUCUAAUGGGACUGCCGGUGACAAACCGGAGGAAGGUGGGGAUGACGUCAAGUCCUCAUGGCCCUUAUAGGUGGGGCUACACACGUCAUACAAUGGCUGGUACAAAGGGUUGCCAACCCGCGAGGGGGAGCUAAUCCCAUAAAGCCAGUCGUAGUCCGGAUCGCAGUCUGCAACUCGACUGCGUGAAGUCGGAAUCGCUAGUAAUCGCGGAUCAGCAUUGCUGCGGUGAAUACGUUCCCGGGUCUUGUACACACCG